AUUGAACGCUGGCGGCAGGCCUAACACAUGCAAGUCGAACGGUAACAGGAAACAGCUUGCUGUUUCGCUGACGAGUGGCGGACGGGUGAGUAAUGUCUGGGAAACUGCCUGAUGGAGGGGGAUAACUACUGGAAACUGUAGCUAAUACCGCAUAACGUCGCAAGACCAAAGAGGGGGACCCUCGGGCCUCUUGCCAUCGGAUGUGCCCAGAUGGGAUUAGCUUGUUGGUGGGGUAACGGCUCACCAAGGCGACGAUCCCUAGCUGGUCUGAGAGGAUGACCAGCCACACUGGAACUGAGACACGGUCCAGACUCCUACGGGAGGCAGCAGUGGGGAAUAUUGCACAAUGGGCGCAAGCCUGAUGCAGCCAUGCCGCGUGUAUGAAGAAGGCCUUCGGGUUGUAAAGUACUUUCAGCGGGGAGGAAGGGAGUAAAGUUAAUACCUUUGCUCAUUGACGUUACCCGCAGAAGAAGCACCGGCUAACUCCGUGCCAGCAGCCGCGGUAAUACGGAGGGUGCAAGCGUUAAUCGGAAUUACUGGGCGUAAAGCGCACGCAGGCGGUUUGUUAAGUCAGAUGUGAAAUCCCCGGGCUCAACCUGGGAACUGCAUCUGAUACUGGCAAGCUUGAGUCUCGUAGAGGGGGGUAGAAUUCCAGGUGUAGCGGUGAAAUGCGUAGAGAUCUGGAGGAAUACCGGUGGCGAAGGCGGCCCCCUGGACGAAGACUGACGCUCAGGUGCGAAAGCGUGGGGAGCAAACAGGAUUAGAUACCCUGGUAGUCCACGCCGUAAACGAUGUCGACUUGGAGGUUGUGCCCUUGAGGCGUGGCUUCCGGAGCUAACGCGUUAAGUCGACCGCCUGGGGAGUACGGCCGCAAGGUUAAAACUCAAAUGAAUUGACGGGGGCCCGCACAAGCGGUGGAGCAUGUGGUUUAAUUCGAUGCAACGCGAAGAACCUUACCUGGUCUUGACAUCCACGGAAGUUUUCAGAGAUGAGAAUGUGCCUUCGGGAACCGUGAGACAGGUGCUGCAUGGCUGUCGUCAGCUCGUGUUGUGAAAUGUUGGGUUAAGUCCCGCAACGAGCGCAACCCUUAUCCUUUGUUGCCAGCGGUCCGGCCGGGAACUCAAAGGAGACUGCCAGUGAUAAACUGGAGGAAGGUGGGGAUGACGUCAAGUCAUCAUGGCCCUUACGACCAGGGCUACACACGUGCUACAAUGGCGCAUACAAAGAGAAGCGACCUCGCGAGAGCAAGCGGACCUCAUAAAGUGCGUCGUAGUCCGGAUUGGAGUCUGCAACUCGACUCCAUGAAGUCGGAAUCGCUAGUAAUCGUGGAUCAGAAUGCCACGGUGAAUACGUUCCCGGGCCU
rnacentral:rRNA from 1 species